rnacentral:rRNA from 1 species
CAGCAGCCGCGGUAACACGGAGGGUGCAAGCGUUAAUCGGAAUUACUGGGCGUAAAGCGCACGCAGGCGGUCUGACAAGUCAGAUGUGAAAUCCCCGGGCUUAACCUGGGAACUGCAUUUGAAACUGUCAGGCUGGAGUCUUGUAGAGGGGGGUGGAAUUCCAGGUGUAGCGGUGAAAUGCGUAGAGAUCUGGAGGAAUACCGGUGGCGAAGGCGGCCCCCUGGACAAAGACUGACGCUCAGGUGCGAAAGCGUGGGGAGCAAACAGGACUAGAUACCCCUGUAGUCCCUGUCUCUUAUAC